GAGACAGCCUGAUGACCACAAUCAUUAUUACCACCACCAUUACCACAGGUAACGGUGCGGGCUGACGCAUACAGGAUAAAUUAAAAAAGCCCGCACCUGACCAGUGCGGGCUUUUUUUUC
rfam:Erwinia tasmaniensis strain ET1/99 complete chromosome.